UACGUAGGGACCAAGCGUUGUUCGGAUUUACUGGGCGUAAAGGGCGCGUAGGCGGCGUGGUAAGUCACUUGUGAAAUCUCUGAGCUUAACUCAGAACGGCCAAGUGAUACUGCUGUGCUAGAGUGCAGAAGGGGCAAUCGGAAUUCUUGGUGUAGCGGUGAAAUGCGUAGAUAUCAAGAGGAACACCUGAGGUGAAGACGGGUUGCUGGGCUGACACUGACGCUGAGGCGCGAAAUCCACGGGAGCAAACGGG
rnacentral:rRNA from 1 species